UUGGAGGGCAAGUCUGGUGCCAGCAGCCGCGGUAAUUCCAGCUCCAAUAGCGUAUAUUAAAGUUGUUGCAGUUAAAAAGCUCGUAGUUGAAUUUCGGGGUCUGUCCGUCGGUCGGGCUUCACGGUCCGUACUGGUGUGAUGGGUUCCUACCUUCUGAAUAACCGGCAUGCCAUUCAGUUGGUGCGCCGGGGAAGCAGAGCUAUUACCUUGAAAAAAUUAGAGUGCUUAAAGCAGGCUAGUGCUUGAAUAGAUUAGCAUGGAAUAAUAAAAUAGGACGGCAUGGUUCUAUUUUGUUGGUUUCUAGGAUCACCGUAAUGAUUAAUAGGGAUAGUUGGGGGCAUUAGCAUUCAAUUGUCAGAGGUGAAAUUCUUGGAUUUAUUGAAGACUAACUUCUGCGAAAGCAUUUGCCAAGGAUGUUUUCAUUAAUCAAGAACGAAAGUUAGGGGAUCGAAGACGAUCAGAUACCGUCGUAGUCUUAACCAUAAACUAUGCCGACUAGGGAUCGGACGAUGUUAAUUUUUCUUGACUCGUUCGGCGCCUUACGGGAAAC
rnacentral:rRNA from 1 species